UAAAUGCAUCAAGAGUGCCGCCUAAAAAAGGCGAGCCGACAACCGUUUUUAGUUUUACGGUGCCAAAUUAAGAUGCGGUCAUUAUGACAAAAACAACUUUUACU
rfam:Microgenomates (Daviesbacteria) bacterium GW2011_GWA2_38_17 TS80_C0005, whole genome shotgun sequence.